rnacentral:rRNA from 1 species
GAUGAACGCUGGCGGCGUGCCUAAUACAUGCAAGUCGAGCGAAGCGGGGACGGGUGAGUAAAACGUGGGUCACCUCCUAUAAGACUGGGAUAAAUUCGGGAAACCGGAGCUAAACCGGCUAAUUCUCGCUGAAUCCACGCUGCAUUAGCUAGUUGGUAGGGUAACGGCUUACCAAGGCCACGAUGCAUAGACGACCUGUGAGGGGGAUCGGCCACAGUGGAACUGAGACACGGUCCAGACUCCUACGGGAGGCAGCAGUAGGGAAUCUUCCGCAAUGGGCGAAAUCCUGACGGAGCAACGCCGCGUGAAUGAUGAAGGUCUUCGGAUCGUAAAAUUCUGUUAUUAGGGAAGCGGUACCUAAUCAGAAAGCCACGGCUAACUACGUGCCAGCAGCCGCGGUAAUAC